UACGUAGGUGGCAAGCGUUGUCCGGAAUUACUGGGUGUAAAGCGCGUGUAGGCGGCAGGCCAAGUCUGCGGUGAAAGCGCCCGGCUCAACUGGGCGAGGUCCGUGGAAACUGGUCAGCUGGAGGACGGUAGAGGCGAGUGGAAUUCCCGGUGUAGUGGUGAAAUGCGUAGAGAUCCGGAGGAACACCUGUGGCGAAGGCGGCCCCCUGGGCCGCACCUGACGCUGAGACGCGAAAGCGCGGGGAGCGAACGGG
rnacentral:rRNA from 1 species